UCUCCGUUGGUGAACCAGCGGAGGGAUCAUUACCGAGUUAUCAACUCCCAAACCCCUGUGAACAUACCCAACGUUGCUCCGGCGGGACCGCCCCGGCGCCCUCGGCGUCCCGGAACCAGGCGCCCGCCGGAGGACCCAAACUCUUGUUUAAACCAUAGUGGCAUAUUCUGAGUCUCACAAGAAAAAUGAAUCAAAACUUUCAACAACGGAUCUCUUGGCUCUG
rnacentral:misc_RNA from 1 species